rnacentral:rRNA from 1 species
AGAGUUCGAUCCUGGCUCAGGAUGAACGCUGGCGGCGUGCCUAACACAUGCAAGUCGAACGAAGCUAUGAGACGGAAGCCUUCGGGUGGAAGACUGAUAGACUGAGUGGCGGACGGGUGAGUAACGCGUGGGCAACCUGCCCCAUACCGGGGGAUAGCAGUUGGAAACGACUGGUAAAACCGCAUAAGCGCACGGUAAGGCAUCUUACAGUGUGAAAAACUCCGGUGGUAUGGGAUGGGCCCGCGUCUGAUUAGCCAGUUGGUGAGGUAACGGCUCACCAAAGCGACGAUCAGUAGCCGGCCUGAGAGGGCGGACGGCCACAUUGGGACUGAGACACGGCCCAGACUCCUACGGGAGGCAGCAGUGGGGGAUAUUGCACAAUGGAGGAAACUCUGAUGCAGCGACGCCGCGUGAGUGAAGAAGUAUUUCGGUAUGUAAAGCUCUAUCAGCAGGGAAGAAAGGCUCGCAAGAGAGAUGACGGUACCUGAGUAAGAAGCUCCGGCUAAAUACGUGCCAGCAGCCGCGGUAAUACGUAUGGAGCAAGCGUUAUCCGGAUUUACUGGGUGUAAAGGGAGCGCAGACGGAUAUGCAAGUCUGAAGUGAAACCCCACGGCUCAACCGUGGGCUUGCUUUGGAAACUGUAGAUCUAGAGUACUGGAGAGGUAAGCGGAAUUCCUGGUGUAGCGGUGAAAUGCGUAGAUAUCAGGAAGAACAUCGGCGGCGAAGGCGGCUUACUGGACGAAAACUGACGUUGAGGCUCGAAGGCGUGGGGAGCAAACAGGAUUAGAUACCCUGGUAGUCCACGCGGUAAACGAUGAAUACUAGGUG